AGCCACGGACGACCGUGGCGCAGCUCACCCACAGCGGGACGACCUGC
rnacentral:ncRNA from 1 species